rnacentral:lncRNA from 1 species
GAGAGGACACUUUAACCCAGAAGUCAUCAGACCUAACCUCCCCACGGCUCUCGGAGCAAUAAAAGAAUGAGAUGCACCAGGGUCCAUCAAGGCAUAUACAUUUGAACAACCAAUGAUUAAGUUACCUGCCACCACGGUGUUAGAUGCAUCUGCCUCCUGCUGUGUCAUUGUGAAGAUCCGUGCUGGAGCUGAUGGACCUUCACCUCUGAAA